rnacentral:rRNA from 1 species
UACGUAGGGUGCAGGCGUUAAUCGGAAUUACUGGGCGUAAAGCGUGCGCAGGCGGUUUGCUAAGAGAGAUGUGAAAUCCCCGGGCUUAACCUGGGAACUGCGUUUCUAACUGGCAGGCUAGAGUGUGGCAGAGGGGGGGUGGAAUUCCACGUGUAGCAGUGAAAUGCGUAGAGAUGUGGAGGAACACCGAUGGCGAAGGCAGCCCCCUGGGCUAACACUGACGCUCAUGCACGAAAGCGUGGGGAGCAAACAGG